rnacentral:rRNA from 1 species
GACGGAAGGUGCAAGCGUUACUCGGAAUCACUGGGCGUAAAGCGUCCGCAGGCUUCUUUGUAAGUCUGGUGUAAAAGCACGGAGCUCAACUCCAUGUAUGUGCCGGAAACUGUAAAGAUAGAGUCACUCAGAGGCACCUGGAAUGCCGUGUGUAGGGGUAAAAUCCGUUGAUCCACGGUAGAACGCCAAAAGCGAAAGCAGGGUGCUGGGGGUGUACUGACGCUCAGGGACGAAAGCGUGGGGAGCAAAGGGG